AGUAGGACUGUGAACCAGAGGGAUCUCAAGACAACGAAGGCCUUGCCUCAAGGGAAUCCAAGACACACCAAAGGGCUGAGAAGAACAGACCUGGAGUGAAGAAGCAGUCUAUAAAAUUGGUUAUCACCUUCUCUGUUUGCCAACCAGUAACUGCGUGAAGCUAUAGAAGGCCUUUUUUUGUGUGUGUUUGUGAAAGGGACUCAUUAAGAGGUAGUUACAUGGUCCCCCAUCGCCUGGAUUGCCUGAUGAGGUAAGAAGUAUUACUGUCCCUGUUUUACAGAUGGGAAGCUGAGGCAAGGAAGCUGGACACUUGAAAAAAAUGCAACCAUUGUCGUUACUAAGAUGUCUACAAGAGAUUAGCACCUGGAUGAAGAACAACUGGCUUGAACUGAACCCAAGUAUGACUGAACUGAGGCAGGGGGAAGUGCUUCAAGAAGCUAGCCAAGACAUUCAGUUCUCCCUUUAUUAAAGGCAUUUGCACUCUAAUUGACAAUGUAAAAGUCUUGGGGUUUUAGUGGGUCCAUCACUAGUUUGGGGAUACCCAGGUAGCAACAAUGGCAGGAAUUGCCGUCUGCUACCUCCAGCUUGUCAGGACACUACACCUUUCAUCUCAGAUUUCACUGCAGUGCUCUAUGUACAUGCUCCUCACCACCAGGUUGAACUAUUGUAUUUUGCUGUUCAUGGAGCUGAAGAUAUAAGCAAGACAGUAAAUACAACUGGUAUAGAAUGCUGCAGCCCAUUUCCAUAGCAAGGAAAACCACCAAUGACACAUCAUAUCAGUACCCCCACUGGCUCCCUAUUUGCUGCUGGUGCUUAUUUUAGCCUUGAUAUUAAUCUUUAAGGCCCUCAAUGGGUUGGGGUCUGGUUACAUCUGAGAUUACCCUUCCAUCUGUGGCCCACCAGCCUUGCUCUUCUGGAAAAAGACUGCUAACGGCAUCCACUGUGAAGCUCUCAAAAGCUGGAGAUAAGAGAUUCUUGAUCAAGGACUCUUGACAAUAAAACAACUUACUAAAGAAA